GAAGUCGUAACAAGGUAGCCGUAGGAGAACCUGCGGCUGGAUCACCUCCUUUCUAAGGAUAAUCGGAAAGCGACAGGGACUUAAGUGUCAAUUUGUUUGUUUCAAAGUUUUGUUUAGUUUUGAGUGUGAUACUUUAAUAGGUAUCAUGGUCUCAAAGUGAUCCUAUGGGGAAUUAGCUCAGCUGGGAGAGCACCUGCUUUGCAAGCAGGGGGUCAGCGGUUCGAUCCCGCUAUUCUCCAUAGCUAGUCGAAAGGCUAGCAUGUUGUACAUUGAAAACUGAAUAGUAACAAAUUCUUUUAAAAGCAAUCGUAAGAUUGCACUAAAAUGAACCGAGAAACAACACAAAAAGUUCUUUAAAAAGAACGGUUUAAUCGCAGGUCUGAAAAAUGACCAACUCAUAAACUUAAACCACAACUUCGGUUGUAUAGGUUAAGUUAAUAAGGGCGCGUGGUGAAUGCCUUGGCACUAGGAGCCGAUGAAGGACGUGACUAACUACGAUAAGCUUUGGUGAGCGGUAAGUACGCUAUGACCCAAAGAUUUCCGAAUGGGGAAACCCAACUCGUAAGAGUUGUCUGUAUCUGAAUACAUAGGAUAUUUGACGGAAUACGCUGUGAACUGAAACAUCUUAGUA
rnacentral:misc_RNA from 1 species